GGCGACAUAGCCAAGUGGUAAGGCACGAGCCUGCAAAGCUCUGAUCCCCGGUUCGAAUCCGGGCGUCGCCUCCA
rnacentral:tRNA from 1 species